ensembl:lncRNA
CGCUGAUAGUCUCUUCUACAGCGGCACACAGAGUUCCAGUCCUUUUCCACACAACCCUUUGGAAAGCGCCGAAUCCAUUAUCACUGACCACCACCACGAUAAAAGACAAUGAACCGCGGCACGAAACGACCAAAGGGGGGAGCCGAGAAAAAGAGAGAGAAAACAAAGAUAGCACGGUUGGCUUCCGUUUCACAACGCCAGUAUACAAACGAGAAAUCAUCAAGAAAAUGUUUAGAUCCAUUUUUGGACUAAAAUUCUUUGCAAGACCUCGGUCUUCAGGAGAUAUGGACUCUUCUUCGAAGAAGUCCAAACGAAGGAGUGAGAGACCUUCGUCUCCUGAAGACCUCAACCCUCCCACCAUCUUGAGGGAGCACGGACGAAGGGGUGAGAGACCUUCGUCUAGUGGAGGCACCAACCCUUCUACCAUCAUGAAGGAGCACAGGAAAAGUGGUGAGGGCCCUUUGUCUUGUGCAGAAAACCAGCCCUCUAUCACCAGGCAGCAAGAACGAAGGGAUGUGAGCUCUUUGUUCAUCGUGGGUACUAACCCUUCUACCAUCAUGAAGGAGCACAGGCAAAAGGGUGAGAGCCCUUUGUCUUGUGCAGAAAACAAGUCCUCUACCACCAGGCAGCAAAUACGAAGGGGUGAGAGCCCUUCCUCUUCAUCCUCUGAAGACAAGCAGCCUUCUACUCCAAGGCGGCAGCAGGCAUGGAGAGGUGAGAGCCCUUCGUCUUCCUCUUCUGAAGACGAUCAACCUCCUACCACCAGGCAGCGAGUACGAAGGUUUGAGAGCCCUUCCUCUUCAUCCUCUGAAGACAAGCAGCCUUCUACUCCAAGACGGCAGCAAGCAUGGAGAGGUGAGAGCCCUCCGUCUUCAUCUUCUGAAGACGACCAGCCUUCUUCCACCAGGCAGCAAGAACGAAAGGAUGUGAGCUCUUUGUUCCUCGUGGGCGCUAACCCUUCUACCAUCAUGAAGGAGAGCAGACAAAGGGGCGAGAGCUCUUUGUCUUGUGCAGAAAACAAGCCCUCUACCACCAGGCAGCAAGGAAAAAGGGCUGAGAGCACUUCGUCUUCCUCUUCUGAAAACGACGAGCCUUCUACCACAAAGAGGCAGCAACAACAAAGUCCUUUGUCCUUCGUAGACAUCAACCUUUCUACCACCUUUAGGCAGGAUGGAGGAAUUGGUGAGAACCAUUUGCCCUGCAUUGACAUUGACCAGCCUACCAUCUGGUGGGAGCACGUACGAAGGGGUGAGAGACCUUUGUCUCGUGGAGAUUUCAACCCUUCAAACACCUUGAGGCAGGACGGACGAAGUGGUGACAGCCCUUCCUCUACAUCUUCAUCUUCUGAAGACGACGAGCCUUCGACCACAAGGAGGCAGCAAGAAAGAAGGGCUAAUAGCCCUUUAUCUAUCAAUCUGAGUGUGAGAAAGGAGAGGGAGAUCAUUGAAAGAGAAAAGCAGCGUUUGGAGGAGGAGGGUUUAAAAAGAGAAAGAGAGAGAUGUGAAAAGAUGAAGAGAAAGAACCAGGAGAAGGAGAGGAAAACGUUUGGUCUGCUUUCAAGAAUAAACAUUUGGUGGCUCAAUUGCAAGAUAGACCGCAUUGCCAGGAAAAUCCAUUCAACCCAUGUGGAUGAGCGCUACCUCCUGCGUCAUGGUCCCCUCAGAAAUCCAAAGAAAAUGGCAGAAAAAGAACGGCUGCUUGACCGAAGGAGGGAGCUGAUCUUGUACAAACACAGACAAGAAUUUAAGUUGGAGAGGGAAGUGAGGAAGCAAAGACUGAAGGUAGAGAGAAAGGAAAUAGAUGUGAAGAAGAUGGAGAAUAUCUCUGAGUUAUGCUGCAACUCAGAUAGCCCAGAUAUGUUAAAUCUUCGCUACGGGCCAAUGCCAGUCAGGUCACCCAAACUCAGACUUGUUAACAUAUAUCAUUUAAGAGAAUAUGAGAGCAAUCAAAAAAAUGGCAUCAAACAGAGAGAGGUAAUUGAGGGAGACAGCAAACAUUUCAGAUUUGACAAAACUGAAGUAAAGAGGCGGCAGGCCUGGGUUUGA